CACGUAGGGGGCGAGCGUUGUCCGGAUUUAUUGGGCGUAAAGAGCUCGUAGGCGGCUAAGUAAGUCAGGUGUGAAAACUCCAGGCUCAACCUGGAGACGCCACCUGAUACUGCUUUGGCUAGAGUCCGGUAGGGGAGCAUGGAAUUCCUGGUGUAGCGGUGAAAUGCGCAGAUAUCAGGAGGAACACCAAUAGCGAAGGCAGCUCGCUGGGACGUUACUGACACUGAGGCGCGAAAGCGUGGGGAGCGAACAGG
rnacentral:rRNA from 1 species